CGCAAGGAGAACCUCCUGCCCUGCCUCUUCAUCCUCAACCUCCAAUCUUCCUGCUCUUCACACAUGUGCAGGCACAGAGCCAGUUUUCAGAGGGAGGGCUGAUGACACCAGCAACUUCGGAUCUGAACCUGAUCAACCCAGCACCAACCACUGUGCCGCUCCUCCUCUGCCAACUGCACCACAUGGCUCCACCAUCUCAAAAAGGCACAGACACUACUCCACUUCCUGCGAAGGAUGAGAGAAGAGCCGACCUCCCCACAACGGCACUCACCACCUUCUACAGGGGUGUCAUUGAGAGCAUCCUGACCAGCAGCCUCUCUGUCUGGCAUGGCAGCCGUCAAGCUGAAGACUAGAAGGCAGUACAGAGAGUGGUGAGGACAGCAGAAAAGCUCAUAAGAUCACCCCUACCUGUUCUCCCUACUACCAUCAGGGAAGCGCUAGCCCAGCAUGCGGUGCUGCAAAAGCACACUGGGAAACGACUUCUUUCCACAAGCCAUCAGACUCCUCAACGCACUGAAGAAAACCACAUGAAUAACCAAGGACACGGGAGAAUAUUCCAUGAACACUUCUUUCACCAUGCCACUUACACUUUACUCAUUGCACCUUGUAUACAGCAUCUUCACACCACCUGUAUGAACUCCUCCUGCCGUGUGUGUGUGUCCACUGUGUUUGUGUAUUUAUUGUCCAUCAGUAUGUUAAUCUUAUUAUUGCACACUGUUUGGGUGUCUGUAUUUAUAGUAUGUAUCAGUCUAUAUUUAAUGCCAAUGCCUUAUUUUUAGUUAUUAGUUAAAUGCACAUUGGAGACUGGUCAAACACAAUUUCAAACUUUGUGUUAACCCUCUUGUUGACCGUUCACACUUCAUAGUGUAAAAGUAAACAGAAAUAAAUUCACAUUUCAUUCCUG